UUUUUAUAUAGAAAACAUUGAACCGAAGUUUCGGAGUCUUUUCUUUUACAUAUAUAGAUUCCAAUGGAAUUUAGAAUGAAAGAGGUAUCGAUUAAUUUGUUCAACCUAGGAAAUUUCUUGAGUUUUCGUUUCGCGGCUGAUUUUGCGACGCGUGCUUUCGGUGCAUCCUGUACGAAAGAAUAAUUAAAGCUACAGAUUUAAUAUAAACGACAAUGAACAAGUAGGUAGGUCACGCCGAUACAUGUAUGUACCUAUAAACAUAAGUUGAGAGUACGCACUUUUGUAAUAGUAGUUCUGAGACGAGAAGAACAAAGCGAUAUAUGAUAGUGAAUGAUAUAUUAUAUAUAUUAUAUAUAUGUAUACACAUAUGAGAAGAAAAAAAAAAUGAAGUUGACGCUUGAUACACCAUAGUUUUCACCGACAUAUCCUGGCUGAACACAUCCUCUUUACGUGCAUACCGCAUACCUAUUGUAGUUAUUAUUACGAUACACGCGAUGUUAGAGUAUUUUAUGAUUAAAACGAUAAUAAUAUUAUUACGAUUAUUAUGGAUUAAUUAUGAUUAUGAUUAUGAUUAUUGUCAUCGUCAUAUUAUGAUUAUUAAGGAGUAUAGGUACAUGUAAACGUAACGAUGGUACAACUAAGGCAAGUAUGUACUGUACAUAGCUGUCACUUACCCCCUGCCCCACCAUACCGAUUAUAUAAAUAUGUAUAUAUACAUAUAUAAAUAUAAGUAUAUAUAAAUUGAUAUAUAUGUGUAUAUAUACACAUAAAGCCAUCAUGUUGCAGAACAUUAAUCAUUAUUGUAUUAAUGACUAUUUCGAACUAUUAUUGUCAUUACUAUUACUAUUAUUUUAUCGAAAAGAAUUGUAAUUGUAAUUGUAAUUAUUAUUAUUAUUAUUAUUAUUAUUAUUAUUAUUAUUAUUAUUAUUAUAAUUCCUAUUAUGAUCAUUAUCGCGACAAGAACGUAAUUGAAACCGUGUCUAAUUUUAAUUAGCGUAUGAAUGAUAUAUUAUCAUUGCUGAAAGUAGAUCCUCACUCUUAGCACGGGCAGCUAUAAAACUGUAUUCUUAUUUUUCUCAGAUUGGAUUCUACCUCAAUUUUAUUAUUAUUACUAUAACGUGGAAAGAAAAAUGAUAAAAAAAAAAAUACGAACAAACGAGGCGUCCACCACACUUCUCUAUCCUUCCAUUAUCUGCUAAACUGAAGCACUUCGAUCGAUUAAAAAUGCUACUUAUUAUUACUAUUAGUUAAACUAGUGAGAAUCGUAAACAAAAACAAAAUACUGCAGCGACCUCAGCCUGUGAUAGUUACAAAGGAUAUUAUUUCAAUUAAGAAUCUGCUGUAUUAUGUCAAACGUUAGAUCAUCGAUCGGCGAUAGUUUGAAGAAAAAAAAAAAAAAAAAAUCAAGCGAAAUGUCCGUACUACGUUUACGAUUGGAUUACUAUUAUUAACGAGGCAUUUCCGCCUAAACGUCGAGCUCAUUACGAUCGAAAAAAGAAAAACGAAGGCAUGGUGCGAGGGACAGUGUUAUAUAGUUUGAUACUGUGUUGAUCGAGAUUAGUAAGACUUUUUAAAUUUAAUUUUUGUAACGAGCUUUGUUGCUAUCGUUGCGAUCGCUACGUAGCGCAGUAUGUAUGUAUAUAUAUAUACGUUAUUAUAAAACUUUGCUUUUACGAUAUUCAUGCGUAUAACAGUGAUGUAUAUUUACGGUUUACACGUUUCCUUGGAGAGCAUUGUAAAGAUAAAGGACACGAGUUGUAAUACUUUUUCUUUGAAUCAUAUAUAUUAUGUAAUUACGCUGAUACUCGUAAUUUUAUCUGUAACCGCAUGUGAUAAGAGACAAGAGAGUACUCAAGAGUACGGAAAGGCAAGUGUAACGAAUGUCAUCGAGUGCUUUAACAAAUAUAUAUAUAUAUUAAUAUGUAACAAACGCUGUGCGCUUGUGAUCUUAAGAAUUUACGUUUUUUCUUUUUUAAAGCUAAUCCACACUCUUCUUUUUUCUCUUACAUGCUGUGUCAUGUAAACGGCUCGAAGUUUCCGUACGGUAUGUUCCUUUAUUAGACAGAAACAAGCAAAGAUCAUUUAUAUUAGCUGUAAUGAUUGCCUGUAGGGCUUCUUUGUAAUAACUUUCAGUAUAUUACUGUAUUGUGAUGUUAUCUUAAGCCAUGGACCGAAGUGGGAGAAUUUUCUCGAGGUCGCUGUAGUGUAUUCUACCGCUGAGGUGAGGGAUCACUUUCUCAGUUUUUUAGAUUGCUCAAGGAGCACCAAACAAGCGAACAGUCGACUGUUUAAGAGUAAGGAAAGAGUGAAACAGAUUGUACCCGCGUAAUUAUCUUUGAGUGGCGAAAUGCGACGAUUGGGGACUGUGUAUUGUGAUCAGCAAACAGACUACAAUGUAGUUUGUUCGUAAUCGAAUGAACAAACGGAAACACUUGUGUAAUAAAGUAGAUAUCCAUGAAAAAUCUUUCAUGAUUUUAUUUGCACACUUUUCUUUAAAGGGGAAAACAGGCACAGCGCGACAAUUUACAAACUUUAUUUCGUAACGAAAUCACUUGAAAGUACACUUUAUCUUUCAUUCCAUCUCAACGUCGACAACUGCAUCUUCCACGAUGAUCUGUUCCGAUGUCACAGGAACUUGUAUUAUCGGUAAGGGAUCGGGAGAUCGAGUCGAUGCCUGCUUCCAUGGAACCUAUUAAAGACGGUUGGAAUAAUAUUUCUGGAGCUCGCAAACGUUCCACUCCUAUAUGUAAUUGAUGAGUUUCUCCGGGAACCAUGGGAACGUUUGAUCCAGCUCCGUCGAAUUCUGGG